rnacentral:lncRNA from 1 species
GGUUUUGAAGCUUUGGGUGCCUGCGGCCGGCUCGACGGUUGACAUCAGCAAGCGCUGGCCGGCCUCGGCACUGCUGCGGGUGGUUAUAUGGUGCGUGGCGCGCACCAGUGGGUUUCAACGUCAGGGUACAGUAGCGAGCUAAAUCCUGAGUCCAGCUAGGCUUUUUUUGGUUCAGGUUUUGUUACUGUUUUCCAUUCGGGAUUUUGUGGUGACCAAACCUAGCAUUUGCAGUUGUUUGUUUCAAAAAUUCAUGUCCCGGCAUAAAAUUUUGAUACGUAAGGUAAAUCCUGCCAACAAAUCGAUGUUAUGGGCUUACUAGUUAGAUGGAUACUUUCUAUUUUAUUCAGGGAUACGUUCAGCAUGCUUGUGAGGUACACAUUUUUCAGGUCCAGUUAGAAGUGUUUGCUUGAUUUGUCGCCCAAGUUUCAUAUUCUAAUGAUGCUCCUUCACUUCAAUACAGCGUUGGCAUGUAGGAUGAAUAUCUAUGCAAAUUUCAUGCACAAAUUAAAAACAAAAGCUUGGCUAUUCUUCUGCAUGUCUUCAAGGCAUAAUUUCUGAUCUAUCAUGAGAUAAUAAUUAUUUCUUCUUCUUUCUUAUCAUGUGGCUAGUUGCUAUGAAAAUUUAACACAUACAUCAUCUUUUUGUCAUUGAAACAAAAUCAUAUCUGCCAAGUUUCUUCAUUCCGUCGAAGCUUGCAGAUUUACCAUCUAAGUUGGCACAUUAUUGAAACAAAUCGUAACCAUGGAUUCUAUAUGGAAGAUCGGCAUAUCAUUUUUAUAUUAGAUUCAUGUAUACUGUAAGGAAUUAAUUUUGUUCAUCUUCAACCCAUUUUCCUAUCUUGCAAAGCUGUCCAUUCAAGUAUGAUCAAUUUCUACUCUGUGAUUUAAUACAUUUGUAACACUGGCAUAGUGCCAUUGACAUGCAUUGCUUUUUUGUCCCCUUUAAUAUUGAUUCAUCUGCUUGGUUAUAUGCAUGCCUUUGCAUACAUUCCUUAUCCAGUCUGCUAUUGAUCAUUUCCAUUUUUCAUCCCGGCAGUACGCUGAUAGCUUAUCCAGUCUGCUAUUGAUCAUUUCCAUUUUUCACCCCGGCAGUAUGCCGAUAGCUAUAAUCGAGUCAAUAGUUCCAAAAUGUUGCUUCACAAUUAUUUGUCUAUUUGGGCAGCACAUGGAUGGCUUCAGUGGGUGGCAUGGCCUUUCCAUUCUGAAUUGAAGUUGGUCUGAAAAUGUCGAACUCUGCCAUGGGACACAAAAGAUAUAACUUACCUUCAUAUCGUUGAUUCUUCUUAGUCUUCCUUUUGUGAAGUUGUGUAGCAAUCUUCCUUUUCCUAUCUGUAAUUAGAUUUUCUUAGGAAUACUCUCCAUUUUCUUAGGAACACGACGUCGUUGCGAUGCCUCCAAAUGCACCAGCAACAGAGCAGGAAGAAUGUCGAUAGCGAGGUGAGCACAUCUGGCAGAUUGUGAACAGAGGCCACGGAAGGUGGCUGGAACCCCAACGUGGCCCCGAAAUCAACCAACACUGAGCAGGCGGAAAGGAGGUGACUCGCCAACUGCAGCGGGGCAUGGCGGAGUAGGCAACUAUUCCACGCUCUAAAAUUGAGGUUUAUAGCAAUGAAAAAGGUGAUUUUGUUUCUUAAUCAUGCUUAACAUUUAUUUAACAUGCCAAUGAAGGCCUGGUAAAGAAGAAUAGAAAAAAUACAGUAUAUUGGUUUAAUUGUUCUCUUGUGUAGACCAAAAUUAGCGAGUAAAGGAAAUAUGAUUUUGCUUCGAAAUUCUUUCUGCGAGCGCUGUAUCUUAUUUCUGUAACAUUCUGACCUAUAUAUGAGAUUUAUUACGACGGUAAUGAUUCACUAA